rnacentral:rRNA from 1 species
UGGGGAAUUUUGCACAAUGGGCGCAAGCCUGAUGCAGCCAUGCCGCGUGUGUGAAGAAGGCCUUCGGGUUGUAAAGCACUUUCAGCGGGGAGGAAGGCGAUAAGGUUAAUAACCUUGUCGAUCGACGUUACCCGCAGAAGAAGCACCGGCUAACUCCGUGCCAGCAGCCGCGGUAAUACGGAGGGUGCAAGCGUUAAUCGGAAUUACUGGGCGUAAAGCGCACGCAGGCGGUCUGUCAAGUCGGAGGUGAAAUCCCCGGGCUCAACCUGGGAACUGCAUUCGGAACUGGCAGGCUAGAGUCUUGUAGAGGGGGGUAGAAUUCCAGGUGUAGCGGUGAAAUGCGUAGAGAUCUGGGGGGAUACCGGUGGCGAAGGCGGCCCCCUGGACAAAGACUGACGCUCAGGUGCGAAAGCGUGGGGAGCAAACAGG